UGAGUACGAGAGAUUACGUUCUCGAAGCAGUGUAUGUCAUACUUCCAAGAAAAGCUCGCAAUGUCAUAAAUAAAUAAUGCCUGUACCAUAACCGACACAGGUGGGUAGGUAGAGUAUACUAAGGGGCGCGAGAUAACUCUCUCUAAGGAACUCGGCAAAAUAACUCCGUAACUUCGGGAGAAGGAGUGCCUUAUUUAUAAGGUUGCAAUAACAAGAUCCAAGCAACUGUUUAUCAAAAACACAGGUCUCCGCUAAGUCGUAAGACGAUGUAUGGGGGCUGACGCCUGCCCAGUGCCAGAAGGUUAAAGAAGUUGGUUAGCAUUAGCAAAGCUGAUGACUGAAGCCCUGGUGAACGGCGGCCGUAACGAUAACGGUCCUAAGGUAGCGAAAUUCCUUGUCGGGUAAGUUCCGACCCGCACGAAAGGCGUAAUGAUUUGGAUACUGUCUCGGAGAGGGGCUCGGUGAAAUAGACUUGUCUGUGAAGAUGCGGACUACCUGCACCAGGACAGAAAGACCCUAUGAAGCUUUACUGUAACUUGAGAUUGAAAUUGGACUUUAUUUGCGCAGUAUAGGUGGGAGGCGUUGAGAAUAUUUUUGCGGGAAUAUUGGAGCCAUCAGUGAGAUGCCACUCUUGUAAUGUUAGAUUUCUAACUUUGUAUCAUAAUCUGGUCAAAGCACAGUCUCAGGCGGGCAGUUUGACUGGGGCGGUCGCCUCCCAAACGGUAACGGAGGCGUACAAAGGUUUCCUCUGAACGUGUAGAAAUCGUAUCUAGAGUGUAAAGGCAUAAGGAAGCUUGACUGUGAGACCUACAAGUCGAGCAGGGACGAAAGUCGGUCUUAGUGAUCUGACGGUGCUGAGUGGAAAGGCCGUCACUCAACGGAUAAAAGUUACUCUAGGAUAACAGGCUGAUCCCCCCCAAGAGUUCACAUCGACGGGGAGGUUUGGCACCUCGAUGUCGGCUCAUCGCAUCCUGGGGCGGUAGUACGUCCCAAGGGUUGGGCUGUUCGCCCAUGAAAGCGGUACGCGAGCUGGGUUCAGAACGUCGUGAGACAGUUCGGUCCAUAUCCGGUGUAGGCGUUAGAAUAUUGAAAGGAGCCUUCUUUAGUACGAGAGGACCGAGAAGGACAUACCUCUAGUGUACCAGUUAUCGUGCCAAUGGUAAACGCUGGGUAGCUAUGUAUGGAGAGGAUAACCGCUGAAAGCAUCUAAGUGGGAAGCCCACCUUAAGAUAAG
rnacentral:rRNA from 1 species